AGAGUUUGAUCCUGGCUCAAGAUUGAACGCUGGCGGCAUGCCUAACACAUGCAAGUCGAACGGAGGUAGGGGCAACUCUACUUCAGUGGCGGACGGGUGAGGAAUGCGUCGGAAUCUACCCUAUGGUGGGGGAUAACACAGGGAAACUUGUGCUAAUACCGCAUAAUGUCGAGAGACCAAAGCAGGGGACCGCAAGGCCUUGCGCGAUAGGAUGAGCCGACGCCCGAUUAGCUAGUUGGUAGGGUAAAGGCCUACCAAGGCGACGAUCGGUAGCUGGUCUGAGAGGAUGAUCAGCCACACUGGGACUGAGACACGGCCCAGACUCCUACGGGAGGCAGCAGUGGGGAAUAUUGGACAAUGGGCGCAAGCCUGAUCCAGCAAUGCCGCGUGUGUGAAGAAGGCCUGCGGGUUGUAAAGCACUUUUGUUCGGGAAGAAAUCAUGCUGGUUAAUACCUGGUAUGGAUGACGGUACCGAAAGAAUAAGCACCGGCUAACUUCGUGCCAGCAGCCGCGGUAAUACGAAGGGUGCAAGCGUUAAUCGGAAUUACUGGGCGUAAAGGGUGCGUAGGCGGCCUUUUAAGUCGGAUGUGAAAUCCCCGGGCUCAACCUGGGAAUGGCAUUCGAUACUGGGAGGCUAGAGUUUGGGAGAGGGUGGUGGAAUUCCCGGUGUAGCGGUGAAAUGCGUAGAGAUCGGGAGGAACAUCAGUGGCGAAGGCGGCCACCUGGCCUAAAACUGACGCUGAGGCACGAAAGCGUGGGGAGCAAACAGGAUUAGAUACCCUGGUAGUCCACGCCCUAAACGAUGAGAACUGGACGUUGGGAGGAAUUUGCCUCUUAGUGUCGAAGCUACGCGUGAAGUUCUCCGCCUGGGGAGUACGCUCGCCAAGAGUGAAACUCAAAGGAAUUGACGG
rnacentral:rRNA from 1 species